UGUGCACCCCUCCUAGAAUUCUUGGCCAGAAAGUUUGAUUGAUUCUUAUAGGUAUAUGCAACAGGGCUUGAAAAGCAGCUGACUUUCAGAUUCUAAUGAUCUAAAUAUAGGCUGGAGAUACUUGAGAACUUAAAGAUAUCUACCAUCCUUAGGCAACAAGCCCUGCAAUGAUGCUCUGCAUAUUGCUUCAAGAGAGGAAAAAAUAGAUGGGAAAUGAACAGGUGGAGAAUAAUAAAUCUUUCUUGAAUUUGCUGUUUCAUUUUCUUCACCAAAGCAGCUGACCAAUUCUGUACAAAGUAUUGUGUAUGUUUAUUAUAUUCCAAAUGUGAUCUAUGCUACAGGAAUAACUAUAAAUAAAUCAUUUGGAUAAAGAAUCAUGCAAAAAUAAAUAAGUCUAUCAAUUGGUUUAUCUACUGAUGUAUCUAGUAUCCAUGCAAACUGAUAAUGUGAAACAAUGCAUAAUACAUCAAGUUUACUGUGGAAGAUUCACAGUACUGUAUUGUGUACUAUAUUAAAUUUAGGAGAGGAAAUUCAGCAGAACAAUAAAACAAAAGCACUACUAUACACCAACAUGAUCAACACAGGUUUUUAAUAAGUGCAUGACAUUGAAUUAGAAUAUAUUUAGCAAUAAGUAUUGUAAAAAAGCACACAGCAUUAAACACUUUUAAUUUCCACAGUUUGAAAAAUUUCAGUGCAACCAAACAUUAUUGAAAAAUAUCUUUAUUUCAAUAAUCUUGUGUGUUUGUACAUUUCUUUAUAAAGAAAUACAUUUUCUCUGAAUAUUUUUUUUAUGCAACAAUCGAACAGAGUGAUUAAACAGAGUGAUUUCCAUUAAGAAAAAUAGGAGAAACUCAAAACAUGGACAACUUUAGCUCAUGAUUAAUCGUGGCACUGUACCAAAACCUGAACAGAUUGAAGUGCUAUAAUACCCAGAAGGAAGGAAGAAUACUACAUUUCCCUCUGCUUAUAACCUUGCAGCCCUGCAUUGACUGCCUUUGUGAAAAAAGAUAUGUGAACUCCAAGUAUGCUUAGAUAUAAAAAUAAACAAAUGCGAUUUUAUAUAUGUAUCUGUUCACACUUCUAAAAUAAAAAUCUAUUUAUAAA